UACGUAGGGUGCAAGCGUUAAUCGGAAUUACUGGGCGUAAAGCGUGCGCAGGCGGAUAUAUAAGUUAGCUGUGCAAUCCCCGGGCUCAACCUGGGAACUGCCUUUAAGACUGUAUGUCUAGAGUUUGUCAGAGGGGGGUAGAAUUCCAAGUGUAGCAGUGAAAUGCGUAGAGAUUUGGAGGAGUACCGAUGGCGAAGGCAGCCCCCUGGGAUAGAACUGACGCUCAGGCACGAAAGCGUGGGUAGCAAACAGG
rnacentral:misc_RNA from 1 species